rnacentral:rRNA from 1 species
AUUGAACGCUGGCGGCAUGCCCUACACAUGCAAGUCGAACGGUAACAGGUCUUCGGAUGCUGACGAGUGGCGAACGGGUGAGUAAUACACCGGAACGUGCCUAGUAGUGGGGGAUAACUACUCGAAAGAGUGGCUAAUACCGCAUGAGAUCUACGGAUGAAAGCAGGGGAUCGCAAGACCUUGUGCUACUAGAGCGGCAGAUGGCAGAUUAGGUAGUUGGUGGGAUAAAAGCUUACCAAGCCGACGAUCUGUAGCUGGUCUGAGAGGACGAUCAGCCACACUGGGACUGAGACACGGCCCAGACUCCUACGGGAGGCAGCAGUGGGGAAUUUUGGACAAUGGGCGCAAGCCUGAUCCAGCAAUGCCGCGUGCAGGAUGAAGGCCUUCGGGUUGUAAACUGCUUUUGUACGGAACGAAAAGCCCCGGGUUAAUACCCUGGGGUCAUGACGGUACCGUAAGAAUAAGCACCGGCUAACUACGUGCCAGCCGCCGCAGUAA